CAUGGCUUUGGGUGAGUUUCAAAAAAAAAAAAAAAGAAUUCUAUGGUCGUGCUUCAUAGACGUGUCCACGCAUCUAUGCAGUCAUUUUUAUGAGUUUUCUGUGAAACAGAGAAAGAUAGAGACUCCAGUCAGAGGGAGAAAGGGAGAUUCGGAAAAGAGAGGGAGAAGUGUCUCCGGCAACCGGCUUCCGACAUCCUAGCUGCCUGCAAUGUAUCUGUUUUUCUUCUACAACUAUACCUUUUGCGAUGACUGGAAGAUAGAAAGACAAAGGUUGCGCGUUGGUAACUGGAUCUAGGGUUCCGGUGAAACCCUGCUAAGUGUUUCUUCACUUAGAUGUUCCACCAUUUUUGAUAGAUCGGUCUAAGAUGUGUUGCUUGAGACUGUUUUCGGUGUUUCGGAACUUCGAUGAAGUUCCGGCAUACUCCGGCGACUGGCAGUGCUUGAUCUGCGUCACUGCAAGCGUGGUAGGACUUUCGGCUAAGGGCGUAAAGAGAGAGAGAGAGGUUCGAGACGAGAAUGGGAGGGAAUAGGCUGGCGGCAGGAGCGGUGGUUAAUGGUGAGUGUUCCGCCACACGUGUCGCGGAGAUGGUGGAAUCGGCGGCGAUUUGGGGAUUUAUGGAGUGGAUCUUGCAGCGGCGGUGACUCAACGAGCAGCGACGUAAAACUCAAGCGCCCGUUGGUGUUGAUAUGAAACCGAAGCCUGAUUAUUUCUAAAGGCAGGAAGGGGUUCGAAACAAAAUAAUACCAAUUGCUUGGUGUCCAUUGCCUCUACCAUGGUUGAUGACACCUAACACGAUUUUCCAUCGACCAAGAUUAACAACAUCGGUGAUCUUUUGACCAUUUUAUCUCCACGCGUACAUCCCAUCAACGACUGUGUUCUUAGGGCUUUCAUACCUGAACGCAUCAUCAUCGCUGAUCCCAAGUGCCCGGUGGUGUCGUCAACCGUUUCUUCUAUUCGCCAACAGAAGGUAAGAGAUCUAUAUUAGUUUUAACUACUUAAUUUUAUUAAUACUUGCAAACUAUGAUUUUUGAAGGCUAAUUGAAGAAAUACUAAUCCAAUUCUAAGAGGUUUAGGAAGGUUUGCCAAUCAGAUUUACAAGCCAAUUUCCAACUCUUAAGUUCGGUUUUUUCGAUUUUUCUCGGAUUAAUAAGUUGAUUUCCGACCCCAACUUUGGUUAACGACUUCUAUGACGGUUCUCUUUUAGAAUUUUCAAAAGGUAUUUCUUCUUCCCUGUUUGUAUGUAAUAGAUUUGUUACAAUCAAUCUUGAACGAAAUAUUGUUACAACUGUAUCCUUGAACAAUAUAGGCUAUAGCAUCCCUAUUUUGAUAAAAAAAAAUGAUGAAAAAAGAUUCCAUGCCGCACCAAAAAGUUUCUCUUGGGCCGAUCUCAUUUCCGUCCUCAGAUUAAAUAUCUGAAUCUCAAUUUGAACCACCGAAAGAACUCAAAAGUAACUCGGUUAGUGUUCAUUCUGUAGACACUAAUAAAAUCAAGAUUACUUUUUAUUUAAUUUGUUUUGGUUAUGGUGUAGGAAAGAACUCAAAAGUAACUCGGUUAGUGUUUUAUUCAAUGGACACUAAUAAAAUCAAGAUUACUUUUUAUUUAAUUUGUUUUCGUUAUGGUGUAGGUUAUUCAAUACGGGUUCUUGCUAUGGAAAGGAAAGGAACAACUUAACGUCUCUCCUGAGUCCCUUUUGAAGUUUAUGGAAUUGAGGUGGACUUGCUUAAAAGCUGAAGGUUUGCAUCAAGAUGACCAAGCCAGUUGAUUGUCGUCGAGAGAAAGAAAGAAUGUAGCAGGAAGGGCUGAUUUCGAUUUUGUGACCAGUUGAAAGAAUGAAGCAUCAUAAGAAUUAAAAGAAAAAGGAAGUGUGAUUGUGAAUUGAUUUUUCUUAUUGGUGAUUGGUGAAAAUCAAUUAAAGUGGGUCGGUGGAUUUAUUUUCUAAAGAUCAAAGCAAGCAUGUGAUAAUUAAUUAUUUAAGCAAGCAACAAUGUUAGCUGCUGAAUUAUUUAUGAGGCAUCCAUGCAACAAGAAAGAAAGCAAAAUCGGACCCAUGCGGUUCAUUCAGCAAGAGCAAGAUCGGCAUCAUGUGUGGUUGGUAUAGCAGUCAGCAAGGAGAUUCGAAACAAGCAAGUGAGAGAGUUCGAAUCAGAAAGAAUCAAGCAAGAACGAGUAAGAUCGAUAUGGUUCACUUCGGAAAGAUAGCUAGCAUGACCACAUCAAGAUUACGGGGGUGAAUGUUGGGUUAAUCUUGAUGGGCUCGGGUCGAGUAUGGGUUAAAGUCAGGUCAUUAAACACCUAACGGGUCAUGGGUAAGGAUUGGUCCAAGUUUGACUGAGGGACAUGGUGAAAACGUAGGAAUAUUAUGAGGAGAGCAUAUGGGAGUGAAGCAACGAUUUUCUUGGAGUUAGUUUGUUUGUUAUUUUGGUUUUCUAUUUAAGUGUUAUUUUCUCAGUUGUAAAUCAUCCUUUUAAAAUCAAUAUACAAAAAGUUACGUAAGUUUUA